AUUGAACGCUGGCGGCAGGCCUAACACAUGCAAGUCGAACGAGUGGCGGACGGGUGAGUAAUGUCUGGGAAACUGCCUGAUGGCGGGGGAUAACUACUGGACACGGUAGCUAAUACCGCAUACCAUCAGAUGUGCCCCGAUGGGAUUAGCUAUUUGGUGGGGUAAAGGCUCACCCAGGCGACGAUCCCUAGCUGGUCUGAGAGGAUGACCAGCCAAACUGGAACUGAGACACGGUCCAGACUCCUACGGUAGGCAGCAGUGGGUAAUAUGGCACAAUGGGCGCAAGCCUGAUGCAGCCAUGCCGCGGGUAUGAAGAAGGCCUUCGGGUUGUAAAGUACUUUCAGCGGGGAGGCGUUACCCGCAGAAGAAGCACCGGCUAACUCCGGGCCAGCAGCCGCGGUAAUAC
rnacentral:rRNA from 1 species